UACGUAGGGGGCUAGCGUUGUCCGGAAUCAUUGGGCGUAAAGCGCGUGUAGGCGGUUCGGUAAGUCCGCUGUGAAAGUCGGGGGCUCAACCCUCGGAUGCCGGUGGAUACUGUCGGACUAGAGUGCGGAAGAGGCGAGUGGAAUUCCUGGUGUAGCGGUGAAAUGCGCAGAUAUCAGGAGGAACACCGGUGGCGAAGGCGGGUCUCUGGGCCGUAACUGACGCUGAGGAGCGAAAGCAUGGGGAGCGAACAGG
rnacentral:rRNA from 1 species